rnacentral:rRNA from 1 species
GCCUAGGAAUCUGCCUGGUAGUGGGGGACAACGUUUCGAAAGGAACGCUAAUACCGCAUACGUCCUACGGGAGAAAGCAGGGGACCUUCGGGCCUUGCGCUAUCAGAUGAGCCUAGGUCGGAUUAGCUAGUUGGUGAGGUAAUGGCUCACCAAGGCGACGAUCCGUAACUGGUCUGAGAGGAUGAUCAGUCACACUGGAACUGAGACACGGUCCAGACUCCUACGGGAGGCAGCAGUGGGGAAUAUUGGACAAUGGGCGAAAGCCUGAUCCAGCCAUGCCGCGUGUGUGAAGAAGGUCUUCGGAUUGUAAAGCACUUUAAGUUGGGAGGAAGGGCAGUAAAUUAAUACUUUGCUGUUUUGACGUUACCG